UACGUAGGGGGCUAGCGUUGUCCGGAAUCAUUGGGCGUAAAGCGCGUGUAGGCGGUCCGGUAAGUCCGCUGUGAAAGUCGGGGGCUCAACCCUCGGAUGCCGGUGGAUACUGUCGGGCUUGAGUACGGAAGAGGAGAGUGGAAUUCCUGGUGUAGCGGUGAAAUGCGCAGAUAUCAGGAAGAACACCCGUGGCGAAGGCGGCUCUCUGGGACGGUACUGACGCUGAGACGCGAAAGCGUGGGGAGCGAACAGG
rnacentral:rRNA from 1 species